GCGCCUUUAGUUCAGUCGGUAGAACGCGGGUCUCCAAAACCCGAUGCCGUAGGUUCGAAUCCUACAGGGCGUG
rnacentral:tRNA from 1 species